rnacentral:rRNA from 1 species
CCUACGGGAGGCAGCAGUGAGGAAUAUUGGACAAUGGGCGCAAGCCUGAUCCAGCCAUGCCGCGUGCAGGAAGAAGCAUCUAUGGUGUGUAAACUGCUUUUGUACAGGAAGAAACACUCCCUCGUGAGGGAGCUUGACGGUACUGUAAGAAUAAGGACCGGCUAACUCCGUGCCAGCAGCCGCGGUAAUACGGAGGGUCCGAGCGUUAUCCGGAAUCAUUGGAUUUAAAGGGUCCGUAGGCGGUUUAAUAAGUCAGUGGUGAAAUCUGGUCGCUCAACGAUCAAACGGCCAUUGAUACUGUUAGACUUGAAUUAUAAGGAAGUAACUAGAAUAUGUAGUGUAGCGGUGAAAUGCUUAGAUAUUACAUGGAAUACCAAUUGCGAAGGCAGGUUACUACUUAAUGGAUUGACGCUGAUGGACGAAAGCGUGGGGAGCGAACAGGAUUAGAUACCCUGGUAGUCCACGCCGUAAACGAUGGAUACUAGCUGUUCGGAGCAAUCUGGAGUGCGAGAGAAGUAGAGUAAGUAUACCACCGUACGGGAGGUACGUUCGUCGAAGAAGAGAAACGUUAAAGGUAAAGUUAGUACGGACGUGAGACGUAGACCGACGGACGACGACGAGGGGAGGAGGAG